UACGAAGGGGGCUAGGCGUUGCUCGGAAUCACUGGGCGUAAAGCGCACGUAGGCGGCUUUUUAAGUCAGAGGUGAAAUCCUGGAGCUCAACUCCAGAACUGCCUUUGAUACUGAGAGGCUUGAGUCCGGGAGAGGUGAGUGGAACUGCGAGUGUAGAGGUGAAAUUCGUAGAUAUUCGCAAAGAACACCAGUGGCGAAGGCGGCUCACUGGCCCGGUACUGACGCUGAGGUGCGAAAGCGUGGGGAGCAACAGG
rnacentral:rRNA from 1 species